UACAGAGGGUGCAAGCGUUGUUCGGAAUUACUGGGCGUAAAGCGUGCGUAGGUGGUUAUGUAAGUCGGGUGUGAAAGCCCCGGGCUCAACCUGGGAAUUGCAUUCGAGACUGCGUAGCUAGGGUGCGGAAGAGGGAAGCGGAAUUUCCGGUGUAGCGGUGAAAUGCGUAGAUAUCGGAAGGAACACCAGUGGCGAAAGCGGCUUCCUGGUCCAGCACCGACAUUCAGGCACGAAAGCGUGGGGAGCAAACAGG
rnacentral:rRNA from 1 species